UGUAUAUUAUCUCGUAGAGGAUCUGUGUUACUGAGAUGAUACUAAGAAGAGAUUCAGGAAGCUUUUAUUAAUGACUCCAUUGAACUGUGUGCCAGCCAAUGUGGCUUAUUUCCUCAACUGUUUACUAACUGAUACUGAAGAGAUUGUUUCUGAUGAAGUUGCUGCUACAAAAAAGAAGUCCAAGAA
rnacentral:lncRNA from 1 species